AAACCAACAGGGAUUGCCCUAGUAACGGCGAGUGAAGCGGCAACAGCUCAAAUUUGAAAUCUGGCCUUCGGGUCCGAGUUGUAAUUUGUAGAGGAUGCUUUUGGCGCGGUGCCUUCCGAGUUCCCUGGAAUGGGACGCCUUAGAGGGUGAGAGCCCCGUAUGGUUGGACACCAAGCCUUUGUAAAGCUCCUUCGACGAGUCGAGUAGUUUGGGAAUGCUGCUCUAAAUGGGAGGUAAAUUUCUUCUAAAGCUAAAUAUUGGCCAGAGACCGAUAGCGCACAAGUAGAGUGAUCGAAAGAUGAAAAGCACUUUGAAAAGAGGGUUAAAUAGCACGUGAAAUUGUUGAAAGGGAAGCGUUUGCGACCAGACCUUUUCGUAGCGGAUCAUCCGGUGUUCUCACCGGUGCACUUCGCUUCGUUUAGGCCAGCAUCGGUUUCUGUAGGGGGAUAAAAGCCUGGGGAACGUAGCUCCCUCGGGAGUGUUAUAGCCCCUCGCAUAAUACCCUUACGGGGACCGAGGACCGCGCUUCAUGCAAGGAUGCUGGCGUAAUGGUCGUCAACGAC
rnacentral:rRNA from 1 species